AAUCUGACGAAUAAAAACAUCUUAGUAGUCAAAGGAAAAGAAAGCAACAAAGAUUUUCGUAGUAACGGUGAGUAAAAUGGGA
rnacentral:rRNA from 1 species